UACGGGAGGCAGCAGUGGGGAAUAUUGCACAAUGGGCGAAAGCCUGAUGCAGCUAUGCCGCGUGUAUGAAGAAGGCCUUAGGGUUGUAAAGUACUUUCAUCGGGGAGGAAAAACAAAACUAAUAAUUUUAUUUCUUGACGUUACCCGAAAAAGAAGCACCGGCUAACUCCGUGCCAGCAGCCGCGGUAAUACGGAGGGUGCUAGCGUUAAUCAGAAUUACUGGGCGUAAAGAGCACGUAGGUGGUUUUUUUAAGUCAGAUGUGAAAUCCCUGGGCUUAACCUGGAAUUGCAUUUUGAAACUGAAAUACUAGAGUAUCGUAGAGGGAGGUAGAAUUCUAGGUGUAGCGGUGAAAUGCGUAGAUAUCUGGAGGAAUACCUGUGGCGAAAGCGGCCUCCUAAACGAAUACUGACACUGAGGUGCGAAAGCGUGGGGAGCAAACAGGGAUUAGAUACC
rnacentral:rRNA from 1 species